AACGAACGCUGGCGGCAGGCCUAACACAUGCAAGUCGAACGCCGUAGCAAUACGGAGUGGCAGACGGGUGAGUAACACGUGGGAACGUACCCUUCGGUUCGGGAUAACUCAGGGAAACUUGAGCUAAUACCGGAUAUGACCUCGGCCGACAUCGGCUGUGGUGGAAAGAUUUAUCGGCCAGGGAUGGGCUCGCGGCCUAUCAGCUAGUUGGUGGGGUAACGGCCUACCAAGGCGACGACGGGAGCCGGCCUGAGAGGGCGACCGGCCACACUGGGACUGAGACACGGCCCAGACUCCUACGGGAGGCAGCAGUGGGGAAUAUUGCGCAAUGGGCGAAAGCCUGACGCAGCGACGCCGCGUGGGGGA
rnacentral:rRNA from 1 species